ensembl:lncRNA FLJ36000 uncharacterized FLJ36000
GAGGCUCCGGCCUGACCUCUCCACGGGGUCCACAGGAACGUCUCCGGCUGCCAGGAGUCGCAAGGGGCCGAGCAGGAUGAGGAAACCACAGGCGGAGUCCGGGGGAAGCAGCGUGGCAUCCCAGCCUCAGGCCUGCCAGGACGGUGUUCGGGAUCAAGAGGACCACACUCCAGCCCAGGACAAAUGCCCCACGGUAGCACAUUGUCCGGCAGGAGAGGAGCAGACCCACGUCCAAGAAGAUGGUUGUACCUUUCCACGCCUCUUCUCUGCGAAAUGAAGCCACAGAACGACACAAUCUUGAAGAGGAAGCCGUGAAUGGGAGACUGCAACAAUCUGUGUCCCUGGAAUGCUGGCCUCUCUGGACAAGCCACGCACUUCGCACCCCUCCUGUUAUGCCCGUGGCGGUGGCACGGCGCUGUAUCCUACCUGGGCUCUGGCCUCCUCUCUGUCCUCCCUCUUGCUCUGUCUCCCCUGUUUCUGAGCGGCCUAGGUGCCUCUUGGCCUGGCUGAAUAUCUUCUACAAAGAUCACUUCCCAGUCCAUCAGGGACUCUCUUCCUGGAAAUCGGUGUCAUGACUGUUUCUCUCUCCAAACCUGUUUCUGCUGGGUUGGUUAGGUCUGGUGACCCUGGAGCUCUUGUCUUCCAUACGUGUCUCAGCCAGGGAAGCUUCCUCGGUCUCCAUGUUUCACCUCAUUUGUGGGUGGAUUUUCUAGAAUUAGUUGUAGGCGACAGUGACUGGUCUUGUCUUCUAGGACAGGAGAGGUGCCGCAUUUCUUCUGCACUUCCUGUCUCAUCCUUUAGGGACAUGCUGUCCUCUGCUCCUGGGUGUACUGAGUCCCUGAAUCUUUUGGCCCCCUCCUGCAUCCCAGGUGUUCUUUGAUUUUCCUUCGCAUUGAUGGAAAGGUCACUUGUGCCCCGCUUCCGCCGGCCACAUGCCUGGACACCAUUUUUUGUUUCGCCAUCGCCCCAUACGCCCUCGGUGACACACAUUUAUGCCAUCUGCUCUGCGGUACACCAUGCCACGUAUGGUCUCAUUGGCUCCACCUCGGAAUUUCCCCUGUCCCUGUGUUCACGUGUCCUGGAAAGUGGUAUCAGCUUUCAAGUGCACCAGGGCUUUUCUUUUUUCAAAGGAGAAGGGAGGCAUCAGUGAAUUUUCAGCUGACACCUCGCCUUGGGGCCCAUGGGAUCAUUCUGGGAUGCAGCGAGGCCCUGCCUUCCUAGCAGAUGUGGUGAGCCCAUCCUUUCUCACCCGGAGGGGUCCAAAGUCGGAUCUCAAGAGGAGUUCUGGGACCCCAGCAGGCGCCCAGAAGCUCCACCUCCACCCCGGAAGUCGGCUUAAGGAGGUCCUCAAGACCGGACUCCUGGGGGUUUGGCCUUGGGACGCCUGUGGCCUCCUCUCCCACGCUGCCCCGUACUGGACCCCUGAUCCAGCCACCGCCAGGGCUGCAAUGCGAGCCGCCCUUCCUCUGCGUAGCCGCUAUUGUUUAAAGGGGUCGCAGCCUGACUGCCAGGAGCGGAGUGCGACUCGGCCCCUCCAAUGCGCAUGCGCAAGGCCCUGGCGCAUGCUCCAGUCACAGUUAUUCCCACGGUUGUCUUAGAAACCCGUCCCUGAGGCUUGGCAAAGUAGGAGCCCUCCGUGGCAGUGCUUGGGUGUCGGGGCUCCGAGGCUCCGGCCUGACCUCUCCACGGGGUCGACAGGAACAUCUCUGGCUGCCAGGAGUCGCAAAGGGCCGACCAGGAUGACGAAACCACAGGCGAAGUCCGGGGGAAGCGGCAUGGCAUGCCAGCCUCAGGCCUGCCAGGACGGUGUUCGGGUGAGUCUCCCCAGAAGUCGUGCCCCCGUGAUCUCAAGGACCGGUCUGCUUGCAUGCCUAUGGGCUGCUCUCUCACCUGAGGGUCGUUCUCAUGUGGAGCAGAACCCUGCUGCCUCAGAGGUUGCCUUGGGGUGUGGUGUGUUUCUGUGCCAGUGCUGUAUGACUGUGUGUUUUUGUUUCUGUGUGUGUGUGUGUGUGUGUGUGUCUCCUAUUCUCUCCUCUCUCUCUGUCUCUUACUCUUUCCCUCUCUCUGUCGGUUUGUUUGUGUCCUUGUGCGUGUGUUUGUUUGGACGAAUGUGCCUUGUGCGCCAAAGAAGCUAUUUUUGCAUGUCGUCUGGUCUUUGUUGAGCCUCUUUCUGGGUCUCUGCCUGGGUCAUGUGGCCGGCUGUCUAUCGUUUUCUCGGCGUUUCCACUUUGGGUUCGUGGAGACCUCGACCACGUGAGGAGAUGCGUCAGUCCCGGGGCAAUUGAAAUCUCAUCCCCAUCCUGAGCAGCCUCUUUUCUAGGAUCAAUAUGACCACACUCCAGCCAAGGACAAAAUGCUCACAGGAGGUCAUUUUUCUGCAGGGGUGGAGCCAACCAAAGUCAAAGAAGAUUGUUGUAUCUUUUCACAGCUCUUCUCUGAGAACGAAGCCACACAACGAUAGAAUCUUGAAGAAGAAGCUAGGAAUGGGAGAUGGCAACAAUCCCUGUCACUGGAACACUGGUCUCUCUGGACAAGUCACCAGUUUGGCACCCCUCCCCUUAUGCCUGUACCGAUGGCAUGGUGCUAUAUCCUGCCUGGGCUCUGGCCUCUGCUCUGUCCUCCCUCUUGCUCUGUCUCCCCUGUUUCUGAGGGGCCUUGAUGUUUCUUGAUCUGUCUGAAUGUCUUCAACAAAGACCACUUCCCAGUCCUCCAGGGCGACACUUCCUGGAGAUCCGUGUCAUGAUUGUUUCUCCCUCCAAACCUGUUUCUGCUUGAUUAGCCAGGGUUGAUGAUCCUGGGGCUCUUGGCUUCCAUACGUAUCUCAGACAGGGAAGCUAGCUUGGUCUCCAUGUUUCACCUCAUGGGUGAGUGGAUUGCCUAGAAUGAGCAGUAGGUGACUGUGACUGGCCUUGUCUUCUAGGGCAGGGACAUGUCGCAUUUCCUCUGCACUUCCUGUCUCAUUCUUGAGAAACAUCCUCCCCUCUGCUCAUGGGUGGACUGACUCCUUGAAUCUUUUGGCUGUAAUGAAAGUCAGGGAUCCAAUGGGACUGGGCUGGGGCUGGAGCUGGAUGCAGGGGAGGUUCUGUCAGGGCUACCUGGGCAUUGGAGGAUUGGGGGUGGAUUGAACUUUGCAUAAACCUCUUUACUCCUCCAGCAGGCUUUUCAAAAUGUGGCUUGGACUCAUGCAAUAAGAAAUUUACCGGUUGAAAGGGCCCCUUUUUCAAUGGCACUCUGGGUAACAUCGCUUCAGCACAAUCAUAUGGUAGAGAAGCCUUAUCAAAUUUGCUGUCCCUCAGGGCUCUUAAAGAUGCUUGAUAAAUUAUUAGGGAAAUAAGAAACAAAUUGAAAGGAAAAGGAAAUCCAAGGACCUGCCCCAGAAGAAUCAUAGAUAUGUUUGAAUACUUAUUCAUUAUUUGCCCCAGAUAGAAAAUGUUUGUUAAUCAAAAGGCAAAAGUUAUAAUGAGGAAGAUAAUAUUGCCUGGGGCAAUGUUGAGACAAAUAAGGUGAAGAUCAACCAAACGCCCUGAGUCCUUUGGCCCAAAUCCCUGCUGGGGACCCAAAUACUUUUGAUAUAGCAUCUUGCUACCUGAGGAACGCAAGGAGAAUAAUACUCAUAAGCAGAGCCUCUGUUUUCCCAUAGGACUGACUCUAACUAUGUGAAGAACUGCUACAUAUUCUACAGUGCUUAAUAGGCGGUGCCUAUCUAACAGGAGCUGUUUGGCUUGUGGAUAGCAGUUCCAAGAUGAACAAAUGACAUUGUGUUUGAAAGCCACUGCUCUUAUUAAAGAAGAGUCAAGCAAA